rnacentral:tRNA from 1 species
GGGCCCGUAGCUCAGUUGGUUAGAGCACACGCUUGAUAAGCGUGGGGUCGGAAGUUCAAGUCUUCCCGGNUGCA